GGGGUUUUUGUGACUAGUAGUCUUUGGUCUCUUACCUGGGAAGGUAUGUUUUCAAGCUCAGGAAACCAGAGGGUCAUAUUUGAGGAGCAAAGCAGGAUAUUGGCGCUGGAGCUGACUCGGGCAAGGCGAGCAACGUCUAGUGGGCUAAAGUAGCCGUUAUUGUUCAGGUACCCUCCGCGAGGGUUCCCCCGCCCCCGCGAGAUAACAGUCAUAACUACUCAGAAAAGGAUCGUCGGGGCGAUGCUGCCGCUAGCCGACCGAAACUCGGUACUGCGUCUCGGGAGCAGCGCACGCGCGUUGCCAUGCUCGCUGCAGCCGCCCGGCCGCCCAAAUUAGGUUCCGCAGCUCGAGCGCCGCGCACGCGCGGUGGUGCCGCCGUGCUCCGAGCUGUCGCCCGCCGGUAACGGCAAUGCGGUACUGCGGCGCCCGCGAGGCGGUGGUGGUGCCGCCCUCGGUGCUGCCUCCCGGUAAGGAAGCGCCGCCGCCGCACGCGGUAUUAGCGAGCGCUCUGCGCGCAAAACGCCGAAGUGAAGCGCCGGUGCCGCCCCUGGGGCGGGAGCCGCCUGCCCGCUGCUCGCCGCGGCUUCCAGCACCCCCUUUGCUGCCGCUGCCGCCUCGUUGCCGAGAGGGGGUACUGGAGCCCGGCAUUGGCGCGCCGGCUCUGACCUUUCCAGCACGCUGUUGGUGCCCGGGAGCAGCACGGCAGCACGCUGGGUGCGGGUCCCGGUGGUGGCGUACGGCCGGUGAGGCGAGGGAGCCCCUUCAGAUGCGUCUCCAGAAGCCCCUGGAGAAGGAGGGGAUUUGGCCAGGGGCGAUCUACGGCAACAACGGUUGCUGCUGCUUCUUUCCCCUCUCCCAGCGGCUGCAACGAGGACGCAAUUGUCCAUUCCUCCCCUGGGGACGCUGUUGGCUACACCUGCCUCAGGCUUGUGUGGGUUGUGUCUGCCUGGCCUUGCUCUCAUCGGGGCAAAAAGGGACAGAUAGAACGUUUACUGCCUGCGGACAGGAGCUGCCACGGCUAGAGCUGGAGAGGUCAGAGAAAGGUAAAGAACCACACAGCCGCUUGCUCACUUCCCCCCUGGUGGGAUGGGGGACAGAAUCAGAAGGGUAAAAAUGAGAAAACUCAUGGGUCAAUAUAAAGACAGUUUAAUAAGCAAAGCAAAAGCCAUGCACGCAAGCAGCACAAAACAAGGAAUCCAUUUGCUACUUCCCCAUGGACAGGCAGGUGUUCAGCCAUCUCCAGGAACACAGGGCUCCACCACGCAUGACAGCGAGUUGGGAAGGCAAACGCUCUAACUCUGAACAUCCCCUCCUUCUUUCUCCAGCUUUAUAUGCUGAGCAUGAUGUUAUAGGGUAUAGAAUAUAUUUGGUCAGUGGGGGGUCAGCUGUCCCAGCUGUGUCCCCUCCCAACUCCUUGUGCACCCCCAGCCUAUUUGCUGGCAGAGUGGUGUGAGAAGCAGAAAAGGCCCCAACUCUGUGUAAGCACUGCUCAGCAGUAACUAAACUGUCCCUGUAUUAUCAAUGAUGUUUUCAGCACAAAUCCAAAACAUAGCCCUGUACUAGCUACUAUGAAAAAAAUUAACUCUAUCCCAGCCAAAACCAGCACAUUCUCCACACUUUAUUCCAUACCAUUUACAUCAGGUUCAGGUCCCACACUAUCCAAUACAUCUUCAUUAACCACCCCCCUUCCCAUCCUUUGAUAUAAUAGGCAGAUACCAUUCCUUUGGCUAUGGACCACCCCUUCUAAAAAGUCCACAAAAUGUCCAUUGAGUUCAUUUAGUCCGUGACUUGGGGCUCCAUCUCUUACAGUGGUCACUUAGGGCAGGAUAGAUGUCAUGUUGCCUGGAGUUACUGGGCACCAAAGCCAGCUCAGGUUGGGUCACUGCUGCACUUGCACUAUUUCUUGUAGGGCUUGUCCUCCAUUGGUUCAGGUGGUCCUGCUAUAGUUAACUCCUAUAACAUGCAACUUGAAAUCACAGGUUACAACAAUUUGAAGGCAUUUCCAUUACAGUCUCCACCCCUGGUCCCUUUGGGCCAGGUUAUUGGGUUUAACAUUGUAAUGAACUCCUCCCCUUGCUCCUUGCCUGGCUAGCGAGAAGGGGUUCCUGCUAUAGUAAUUCCUAUGACAUGCAACGCAAAUCCCUGGUUACAACAAUUUAAAGGUAUUUCCAUUACAAUCUCCAUCCCCGGUCCCUUUGGACCAGACCAUCGGGUUUAACAUUGCAAUGACCUCCUCUCUUUGCCCCUGCUCCAGCUUGGACUUAUCCACAGACUGCAGUCCCUUAGAGGUGUACCUGCUCCAAGUGGAGCCUUAUCGAUGAGGCACAGUCUCUUCUUCAGUGGUAUACCUGCUGUGGCAUAGACUAAUCCACAGUCACUUUGAGGUGCACCUGUUCCAGCAUGGCCUUAUCCACAGUCCACAACGCCUUCAGAGAUAUACCUGCUCCAACAUGGCCUUACCCAUGGCUGCAGUUCCUCCAGGGGCGUACCUACUCUGUUGUGGGCUUAUCUGUGGCGGCACACUUUGAGGUGCUCCAGCGUGACCCCACGCACAGCCACUGAUGCUUCAAGGCAUACCUGCUGCAGCAUGGACUUAUCCACAGCCACAGAUGUUUUGAGGUGUACCUUCUCCAGCGUGGACCUACCCUCGGGCCACAAUCCCUUCGGAGGUAUACCUGCUGCAGCACAGACAUAACCGCGGCCGCAGACGCUUUGAGAUGUACCUGCUUUGGUGUGGAGUUAUUCACAGCCACAGGUGCUUCGAGGUGUCCUGUUCCCACGUGGACUCAUCCACAGGUCACAGUCCCUUCGACUCAAGUUCACACUGGAGUUCCAACUUGUCUAGUAGAGCAGCACGGAAACAGCAGCGAUGCCCUGGCCAUCUGCCAGCCCAGGCGCACAGCCAUUGCUGUUAUCAAAACAUUCCCAGGCACAGUAGAAUAAGAUGAUAAGCAGCAAAAUAAAAAGCCAGCUACUAACGAGCACUUGACUCUAAUAUAUAGUUAAGCCAGCCCCACAGCAAGCACAGAAAUCUGUCAAUUAGUAGCUAAACAGCAAUAACAGCUGUAAAUUCAAUCUAGCACAUUCCAAUUGAAUCUGUCAUUAUCUCAAACCCUUCAAGCCCCACAUUGGGUGCCUGGCCUGUCGUCUUUUCUCUCCUCCCACCCCCCCCGCCCCAUCUCUCCACCUCUGUCCUGUCACUCUCUUCCUCUAUCUGUCUCUAAUGUUUCUUUCUCCAUCUCUGCCCUCCUCCCUGUCCCUUUUCUUUUAUUCUCCUUGUCCUCCAUCCUCCCCCUAGCUUUUUGCCUGUGUAUCUCCAUACCACUGCCUGCCCCAUCAUUUCUCGCUAUACACCCCUGUCCAGCUAGCUGUCUCAUUAUUCCCUUAUGUCCUGCUCCUGGGCCUUUUUUCUCAUCCUGCAGCCCAACGCUGGUUUUUCUUUCUCCAUCUCUUUGUCCUGAUCUGUUUCUCUUCCCUCCCCCUGCCCCCCAUCCCUCCGGCUUGUUCCCUGUCUUUCUCUCUCUCUUUCCCCUUCCUUAUUCCUCUCAUUCAAUUUCUCUCUCAAUCUGUCUGUUCUGCUCCCACUCAUCACUAUCUCUUUCCUUCUGUCCUGCUCCUUGACCCUGUUUGUCUUCUGCCACAUCCCUGCAGGGCUCCUCAUCCCUCUUUUAUUGAUUUCCCCAUCACUGUCCUUUUCCCCUGUGCCUUUCUUUCUCUGUUCCUCAGUCCUUCUGCCUCAUUUUAUUUUUCUGUUCCUCUGUCCUGCUCCCCAUCGCUGUAUCUUCAUUCGCUGUAUCUGCUGCUCCAGUAAUAACUGCUAAGUUGUCCCAGGGAAAGGGUGACAGUACAGGCAUAGAGCCCCAGAGCAGAUUAACUCCUGGGACUUAGAUGCAUUAACAAAUAAAGACUUGAUAUUUCCUUUGUACUCACAGCUGUGUUUGUAGU